CAAUAGCGUAUAUUUAAGUUGUUGCAGUUAAAAAGCUCGUAGUUGGAUUUCGGGCGCGUCGCGUUGGUCCGCCAACGGUGAGUACUGGCGUCGGCGCGCCUUCCUGCCGGGGACGGGCUCCUGGGCUUCACUGUCUGGGACUCGGAGUCGGCGACGUUACUUUGAGAAAAUUAGAGUGUUCAAAGCAGGCCUACGCUCGAAUACUUUAGCAUGGAAUAACACGAUAGGACUCUGGCCUAUCCUGUUGGUCUGUAGGACCGGAGUAAUGAUUAAGAGGGACAGUCGGGGGCAUUCGUAUUUCAUUGUCAGAGGUGA
rnacentral:rRNA from 1 species